UCUCCCUUUGUCUUACGGGCUGGAGUGCAGUGGCACCAUCAUAGCUCAAUGCAGCCUGGACCUCCUGGGUUCAAAGUGUCCUCCUCCUCAGCCUCCCGAGUAAAUGGGACUACAGGGGCAGGCCACCACGCUCGGCUAAUUUUUUUCAUUUUUGUACAGACGGGGGUCUCACGAUGGGGGUUGCCCAGGCUGGUAUAAAACUCCUGAGCUCAAGUGAUCCUUCCGCCUCAGCCUCCUAAAGUGCUGGGAUUCCAGGCUAGGCCACCAGGCCCGGCCUAUAACAAUUUUUAACAUACUACAUUAUGUUGCUUUUUUUUUUGAUGUGGUAUGGCUGUGUGCCGGGCUGGAUCUCUAAAGUUUGUCCCCGACUACAUGUCCCAUCUCCUGUCCGCCUGUGUCUUCUCUAAGCCCUAGCGCUGAAGGGCCAACUAAGGCCUAAGACCCAGUCGCUGCCCCCAAGGGGCUCAGUUUGGUGAUAAAGCCAGACACAAAACAAAAAGGGAGAGAGCAAAGUCGAAGGUGCCAUGAAAUAAGUCGCUUCAGGUGGCGCUGGGAAGGCCUAGCCCCGGACAGGCCCUCCAGGAAGUCUUCCUGGAGGAGGCGGGCCUCAGUUGGACCGCGGUGGGGGUGGGGGUGGGUGGGAACGAGGGGGAGGGUGGUUGGAGUGCGGGGGCAGUGUGAAGAGGGUGAGGCCCCGACCUGGGCCCUUCCAGGCAGGCGGCCUAAACGGAAUUACGCACCGAGCGACCCGGUCCCAGCUGGGGUCUGCACGCCCCUCUCCAUGACGGUGGGGGGAGGAGAGUCUGGCCGCCUGGAGGCCCGGGACAGCGGGGCUGGGAACGCCGGGGUCUCCCUUCUGUCCCCUGCUCCUGGGAGCCCCGCGUUUUCCCCACCCCGUCCUUGACCCGGGGCCGCCGUCCUGCCGGGCCCAGCCUCUGGCGAGACCACCGCGCCCGGCAGCGCCGCUGUCACGGUCCUGCGGAGGGCCACGAGCCUCCAGGGCGCCGCAGCGGCGGGGUGGCAGCUGCCCGGCGUUGCCACGGCAGGGCCCGCGCCUUCGGUCCCGCGCCACGCCCCCACCUCCGCUGGCACCGGUGCCAGAAGCUGGGCUGCGAGCCUGCCGGCGCUCGGCCACCCGCCCGCUGCGUCGCCUGGCAGCGCGCCCGCAGCUGAGUCAGCCUGAUGACACAGCAAGAAGGUUCUUGUCGGCCCCUCAAUCUUGGACUUCCCAGCCUUCAGAAAGACAGAAUUUUGCUCUUGUUGUCCAGGCUGGAGUGCAAUGGCACGAUCUGGGCUCACCAUAACCUCCACCUCCUGGUUCAAGCGAUUCUCCUGCUUCAGCUGCAGAGUAGCGGGGAUUACAGGCAUGCGCCACCAUGACCGUCUAAUUUUGUAUUUUUAAUAGAGACGGCGUUUCUCCAUAUUGGUCGGGCUGGUCUCGAACUUCUGACCUCAGGUGAUCUGCCGGCCUCGGGCUCCCAAAAUGCUGGGAUUACAGGUGUGAGCCACUGCUUUCGGCCCAAAGGGGAUCCUUUUUUUUUUUUUUUUUUUUUUCUUUGAUACGGAGUUUCGCUCCUGUUACCCAGGCUGGAGUGCAAUGGCGCGAUCUCGGCUCACCGCAACCUCCUCCUCCUGGGUUCAGGCAAUUCUGCCUCAGCCUCCUGAGUAGCUGGGAUUACAGGCACACGCCACCAUGCCCAGCUAAUCUUUUGUAUUUUUAGUAGAGACAGGGUUUCACCAUGUUGACCAGGAUGGUCUCGAUCUGUUGACCUCGUGAUCCACACGCCUCGGCCUCCCAAAGUGCUGGGAUUACAGGCGUGAGCCACCGCGCCCGG
rnacentral:lncRNA from 13 species